UAUCAUUAACUGAAUCCAUAGGUUAAUGAGGCGAACCGGGGGAACUGAAACAUCUAAGUACCCCGAGGAAAAGAAAUCAACCGAGAUUCCCCCAGUAGCGGCGAGCGAACGGGGAGCAGCCCAGAGCCUGAAUCAGUGUGUGUGUUAGUGGAAGCGUCUGGAAAGGCGUGCGAUACAGGGUGACAGCCCCGUACACAAAAAUGCACAUAUUGUGAGCUCGAUGAGUAGGGCGGGACACGUGGUAUCCUGUCUGAAUAUGGGGGGACCAUCCUCCAAGGCUAAAUACUCCUGACUGACCGAUAGUGAACCAGUACCGUGAGGGAAAGGCGAAAAGAACCCCGGCGAGGGGAGUGAAAAAGAACCUGAAACCGUGUACGUACAAGCAGUGGGAGCACGCUUAGGCGUGUGACUGCGUACCUUUUGUAUAAUGGGUCAGCGACUUAUAUUCUGUAGCAAGGUUAACCGAAUAGGGGAGCCGAAGGGAAACCGAGUCUUAACUGGGCGUUAAGUUGCAGGGUAUAGACCCGAAACCCGGUGAUCUAGCCAUGGGCAGGUUGAAGGUUGGGUAACACUAACUGGAGGACCGAACCGACUAAUGUUGAAAAAUUAGCGGAUGACUUGUGGCUGGGGGUGAAAGGCCAAUCAAACCGGGAGAUAGCUGGUUCUCCCCGAAAGCUAUUUAGGUAGCGCCUCGUGAAUUCAUCUCCGGGGGUAGAGCACUGUUUCGGCAAGGGGGUCAUCCCGACUUACCAACCCGAUGCAAACUGCGAAUACCGGAGAAUGUUAUCACGGGAGACACACGGCGGGUGCUAACGUCCGUCGUGAAGAGGGAAACAACCCAGACCGCCAGCUAAGGUCCCAAAGUCAUGGUUAAGUGGGAAACGAUGUGGGAAGGCCCAGACAGCCAGGAUGUUGGCUUAGAAGCAGCCAUCAUUUAAAGAAAGCGUAAUAGCUCACUGGUCGAGUCGGCCUGCGCGGAAGAUGUAACGGGGCUAAACCAUGCACCGAAGCUGCGGCAGCGACGCUUAUGCGUUGUUGGGUAGGGGAGCGUUCUGUAAGCCUGUGAAGGUGUGCUGUGAGGCAUGCUGGAGGUAUCAGAAGUGCGAAUGCUGACAUAAGUAACGAUAAAGCGGGUGAAAAGCCCGCUCGCCGGAAGACCAAGGGUUCCUGUCCAACGUUAAUCGGGGCAGGGUGAGUCGACCCCUAAGGCGAGGCCGAAAGGCGUAGUCGAUGGGAAACAGGUUAAUAUUCCUGUACUUGGUGUUACUGCGAAGGGGGGACGGAGAAGGCUAUGUUGGCCGGGCGACGGUUGUCCCGGUUUAAGCGUGUAGGCUGGUUUUCCAGGCAAAUCCGGAAAAUCAAGGCUGAGGCGUGAUGACGAGGCACUACGGUGCUGAAGCAACAAAUGCCCUGCUUCCAGGAAAAGCCUCUAAGCAUCAGGUAACAUCAAAUCGUACCCCAAACCGACACAGGUGGUCAGGUAGAGAAUACCAAGGCGCUUGAGAGAACUCGGGUGAAGGAACUAGGCAAAAUGGUGCCGUAACUUCGGGAGAAGGCACGCUGAUAUGUAGGUGAAGUCCCUUGCGGAUGGAGCUGAAAUCAGUCGAAGAUACCAGCUGGCUGCAACUGUUUAUUAAAAACACAGCACUGUGCAAACACGAAAGUGGACGUAUACGGUGUGACGCCUGCCCGGUGCCGGAAGGUUAAUUGAUGGGGUCAGCGCAAGCGAAGCUCUUGAUCGAAGCCCCGGUAAACGGCGGCCGUAACUAUAACGGUCCUAAGGUAGCGAAAUUCCUUGUCGGGUAAGUUCCGACCUGCACGAAUGGCGUAAUGAUGGCCAGGCUGUCUCCACCCGAGACUCAGUGAAAUUGAACUCGCUGUGAAGAUGCAGUGUACCCGCGGCAAGACGGAAAGACCCCGUGAACCUUUACUAUAGCUUGACACUGAACAUUGAGCCUUGAUGUGUAGGAUAGGUGGGAGGCUUUGAAGUGUGGACGCCAGUCUGCAUGGAGCCGACCUUGAAAUACCACCCUU
rnacentral:rRNA from 1 species